rnacentral:rRNA from 1 species
GACGUAGGGCGCGAGCGUUGUCCGGAUUUAUUGGGCAUAAAGAGCUCGUAGGCGGCUUGUCGCGUCGACUGUGAAAACCCGUGGCUCAACCAUGUGGUCUGCAGUCGAUACGGGCAGGCUAGAAUUCGGUAGGGGAGACUGGAAUUCCUGGUGUAGCGGUGAAAUGCGCAGAUAUCAGGAAGAACACCUAUGGCGAAGGCAGCACUCUGGGACGGUACUGACGCUGAGACGCGAAAGCGUGGGGAGCGAACAGG